CGUAGGGUGCGAGCGUUAAUCGGAAUUACUGGGCGUAAAGCGUGCGCAGGCGGUUUUGUAAGCCAGAUGUGAAAUCCCCGGGCUCAACCUGGGAAUGGCAUUUGGGACUGCAAGGCUGGAGUGUGGCAGAGGAGACUGGAAUUCCUGGUGUAGCAGUGAAAUGCGUAGAUAUCAGGAGGAAUACCGAUGGCGAAGGCAGGUCUCUGGGCUAACACUGACGCUCAUGCACGAAAGCGUGGGGAGCAAACAGGAUUAGAUACCCUGGUAGUCCACGCCCUAAACGAUGUCGACUGGUUGUUGGGGGUUUGACACUCUCAGUAACGAAGCUAACGCGUGAAGUCGACCGCCUGGGGAGUACGGCCGCAAGGUUA
rnacentral:rRNA from 1 species